UUGAAUUUAAUGUAGAGUUGGUUGUAGCUGGCCUAAUUAAUCUUUGGGCAUGUGCACACCUUCUCUUUCAUCCACACACACCUGUGCACUUGUGAGACAGAUGGGGACUUUUAAUUUACUUUAAAUGGACCCUCUGUCUACUUAAUCCACACAAACUCUAUUUAUUUUAAAAUGAAUGUAAUUGAUGUAACGCAUCUAAUAC
rnacentral:misc_RNA from 1 species